UACGUAGGUGGCAAGCGUUGUCCGGAAUUAUUGGGCGUAAAGCGCGCGCAGGCGGUCCCUUAAGUCUGAUGUGAAAGCCCACGGCUCAACCGUGGAGGGUCAUUGGAAACUGGGGGACUUGAGUGCAGAAGAGGAAAGUGGAAUUCCAUGUGUAGCGGUGAAAUGCGUAGAGAUGUGGAGGAACACCAGUGGCGAAGGCGACUUUCUGGUCUGUAACUGGCGCUGAGGUGCGAAAGCGUGGGGCGCAAACAGG
rnacentral:rRNA from 1 species